UACGGAGGGGGCUAGCGUUGUUCGGAAUUACUGGGCGUAAAGCGCACGUAGGCGGCUUUGUAAGUUAGAGGUGAAAGCCCAGGGCUUAACCCUGGAAUUGCCUUUAAGACUGCAUCGCUAGAAUCGUGGAGAGGUGAGUGGAAUUCCGAGUGUAGAGGUGAAAUUCGUAGAUAUUCGGAAGAACACCAGUGGCGAAGGCGACUGACUGGACAAGUAUUGACGCUGAGGUGCGAAAGCGUGGGGAGCAAACAGG
rnacentral:rRNA from 1 species